rnacentral:rRNA from 1 species
AUUGAACGCUGGCGGCAGGCUUAACACAUGCAAGUCGAGCGAGCGGCGGACGGGUGAGUAAUGUCUGGGAAACUGCCUGAUGGAGGGGGAUAACUACUGGAAACGGUAGCUAAUACCGCAUACCAUCAGAUGUGCCCAUAUGGGAUUAGCUAGUAGGUGGGGUAAUGGCUCACCUAGGCGACGAUCCCUAGCUGGGCUGGGCGGAUGACCGGCCACCCUGGAACGGAGACACGGUCCAGACUCCUACGGAAGGCAGCAGUGGGGAAUAUUGCACAAGGGGCGCAAGCCUGAUGCAGCCAUGCCGCGUGUUGGAAGAGGGCCUUCGGGUUGUAAGGCACGUUCAGCGAGGAGGCGUUACUCGCAGAAGAAGCACCGGCUAACUCCGUGCCAGCAGCCGCGGUAAUUC